GACGAACGCUGGCGGCGUGCCUAAUACAUGCAAGUAGAACGCUGAAGGAGGAGCUUGCUUCUCUGGAUGAGUUGCGAACGGGUGAGUAACGCGUAGGUAACCUGCCUGGUAGCGGGGGAUAACUAUUGGAAACGAUAGCUAAUACCGCAUAAUAGUAGAUGUUGCAUGACAUUUGCUUAAGAGGUUCAAUUGCAUCACUACCAGAUGGACCUGCGUUGUAUUAGCGAGUUGGUGGGGUAACGGCUCACCAAGGCGACGAUACAUAGCCGACCUGAGAGGGGGAUCGGCCACACUGGGACUGGGACACGGCCCAGACUCCUACGGGAGGCAGCAGUAGGGAAUCUUCGGCAAUGGACGGAAGUCUGACCGAGCAACGCCGCGUGAGUGAAGAAGGUUUUCGGAUCGUAAAGCUCUGUUGUAAGAGAAGAACGAGUGUGAGAGUGGAAAGUUCACACUGUGACGGUAUCUUACCAGAAGGGACGGCUAACUACGUG
rnacentral:rRNA from 1 species